UUAUAUCAGGAAAACUCAAUUGUUUGAGCACUUGUGGAAAGUAAAUGCAAGAAGUGCCCUGAUACCAUUAAAUCAAAUUUAUUGAAAAAUAUAAGAAGGAAAAAGGUGCAAAGUGAAGAUAUAUGGCUGCAGAUCUGGAGUUCAGUUAGACAUGGAGAUGAGCCUUAUAGCCUGCUUGACCUCAGGAAUUGCUUGCUUUGAUAAUAGUGCAUAAAAAUGAGGAAAGACAUCAUUCAAAUUGUUAAAGAAAGAUAACACAGACAAGGAUUAAAUCACUUGAGAAGGCAUCAACAAUACUGAUUGUUUUUAAUGGACAGAUGAGAAGGUUUUUAAAACUAUUGCAAUAUUGGAUCUUAGGAUCUAAAUCGAAGUCUUAUUGUUCUGGGCACAGUGAAAACAAGUACAAGAACCAGCUUCCACCCUAAGAAGUCCUAAAAUAUAAUCUGCUCUUCCACAAGCUUUUCAGUUCUGUAGGCUGCAUCUUUGUUAGCAAAUAGUGUGGAGCAGUGGAUAUGGAUCUGCAGGAACAAACAGG